UGCAGAGGAACUUCAUGAUAGCAGAGUGAACAGCAGUAUAUUUGGAUUUAUAAACUGAGGCUGCAGUUUAAGGACUCCAUCUGCUGGAUGAUGCUGGCAGGUUUGACUGCAUCCUUCACUUUGUGAAAACCACUUGUAACAACAAGCCUGCUCCUGAAAAACCAGUCAGGAGAUAUGUGAACCCCCAGCUUCUUUUGAGUAACCCUACACGUUCCUGACCCCUGACCUUCCUCACACCUGCGUCUCCACGCCGCUCAGUUUAGGCAUCAGGAUACGUGGAGUCACCCCGGAGUUGAGGUCCCUCUCAAACUCCAAAAGCUGGCCCAUGAAGUUUAGAUUCGGGGACACUACUGGACGACGGCUCCGCACGUAUUUGUAGGCAUCCGUCAUUGUCAUGAGGGUGUGCUUCAUAAGGUACGCGAUGACAAUGGUUGCAGAACGGGACACGCCUGCCUGGCAGUGUACCAACACUCCCUGUCCACUUUGAUAUGCCUCCUCUGUGGAUGAGAACAACAAAACAGAUGAGCUCAAUUUUCUGAAUUAAGUGAGUAAAAACUGUCUUAAAGGUCCCAUAUUAUGCUCAUUUUCAAAUUCGUACUUGUAUUUUAGGUUACUACUAAAACAUGUUUACGUUCUUUAAUGUUCAAAAAACACUUUAUUUUUCUCCUACUGUCUGUCUGAAUAUACCUGUCUGAAAUGCUCCGUGUUAGUGUCUACCGCUUUAAGCCCUCCUCCCUCUCUGCUCUGAUUGGUCAGUGUUUCCAGGUCUUGAUAAUAAAAGCUGAUAAUGUUGCAGUUCAA